GACGAACGCUGGCGGCGUGCCUAAUACAUGCAAGUAGAACGCUGAAGGAGGAGCUUGCUUCUCUGGAUGAGUUGCGAACGGGUGAGUAACGCGUAGGUAACCUGCCUGGUAGCGGGGGAUAACUAUUGGAAACGAUAGCUAAUACCGCAUAAUAGUAGAUGUUGCAUGACAUUUGCUUAAAAGGUGCAAUUGCAUCACUACCAGAUGGACCUGCGUUGUAUUAGCUAGUUGGUGGGGUAACGGCUCACCAAGGCGACGAUACAUAGCCGAUCUGAGAGGGGGAUCGGCCCCACUGGGACUGAGACACGGCCCAGACUCCUACGGGAGGCAGCAGUAGGGAAUCUUCGGCAAUGGACGGAAGUCUGACCGAGCAACGCCGCGUGAGUGAAGAAGGUUUUCGGAUCGUAAAGCUCUGUUGUAAGAGAAGAACGAGUGUGAGAGUGGAAAGUUCACACUGUGACGGUAUCUUACCAGAAAGGGACGGCUAACUACGUG
rnacentral:rRNA from 1 species